GAAAUUUGCUCAAGGUCACGUAACUAGGCAUCCCAGAGGGAAUGAGCUGCAGGAUUAUGGAAUGGAGUCACAGGUGGUUCCAGCUCUUCAGUUCUGCAAAUUCUCACUCUGUCUCAAACCCUGGUGGCCAGACAAUAGCCUGAGCAGAUACUUUCUAAAGAAUGUUUACUGCAAUUCUAUAUAAAAUCAGAAAAAGCGAGAACAACCAAUCUUUCAUCAACAUGGAAUUAGAAGUAAUGAAGAAGGGUGCCUGCCCACAGUGGUAUACUCCUCAACCGCUGUAAAGAAUGUCUGAGCUAAACUGAUUGUGGACUGAAGAGGGGCAGUGAGACAGGUUAAGGGACUUGUCUUACAUCAUACUUGCACCUUCCCUUGGCUCCUUAUCUUCUUAUCUCCUCCCUAGAAAGCUCAAUAAGUUUUAUGUGCCAUAGAGAGUUGGAAACCCAACCUUCCUCUUGCUGUCAUCAGCACUAGGGGGAAAAUGAGAGGCUGGAUAGUGCAGAGGUCAAUAAGAGACUUGGCCUCAGCUAAACCUGAGUUUGAACCUAGAGCUGGCAACCCCUCUACCCCCAGUUUCCUACAGCCUCCCCGUAAAGUAGUAGAGCAGAAGUGGUGGUUUUGUGGUGGGUCUAGAGGACUGCAUCCACUGAGACCCCUCCUCCUCCUGUGGCUGGCACAGAGCAGCAGAGACAAGCCUGAGUGUCUAAAGGUCGAAAGACCACUGGGCCGGGAGAAUCCUGCCAUUGCAGACAGGAGAGGACACAGCCAUCACUACUGAGGACUGAUGAUCAGCACCAGAUGGAGGCCUCUCAGUGGACGUCAGCAUGCAUGUCUAAGUGCCCUUCUUCCCUAAUGACUUGGCUCUAGAUAAGUCACCCCAAACUAAAGUAGCCCACGAAAAAAAAAAUAAAAAGAAGAAUCCAAAACUCCUGGAGCAGGGCCUGGAACUGGAAAGUUGGGCGGUGACACACUCUCCUGCCUUAUGGAAGACUUUGCAUCAGCAUGACGAGAAGUGGUGGCUGAUGACUCCAAGGUGCUGAGUAGCUUUAUUAAUCACAACUACAGACUAAAGGCUGUGUGUUUUCUCUGGAAGUGGAGUGAGAGAUUGCCUUGUCUCCUGCCGCUCCCACAGUAUAAUCAAGGCAUCAAGCUAAAUUAAAGGAAAUGCCAUCUUCCCGUGACAGCAGGUGCAAAAUUACCUCUAAUUAUGAAUUUGCUAGGUACAACAGUGACUCUGUGUGAAUUAUAACAUUGCAUUCAUUAAAACAACCAUUUAGGGUCUCACUUACCUUGUCAUGCAUAUAGAAUCCCAGAAUCUGAGAGUGAGUUCAUAUCAAAUCUGCUGUGCUCUUGGAGAACUGUGCUGGUCUGACAAUUUGUGACCUGACAUUUUUGUUCAAAGUCUACAUUUCAGAGUAAGGACUGCCGGGUCUGAGUCCCAGAUUUACUAUGGACUGGCAUAUGACUUCAAUAAGUCAGUUAUCUUAUUGAGCUCAGGUUUUUUUUCUUUUCUUCUUAAACGUAUUCUCAUACCCAUUUUACAGAUAAGGAGGUCAGGGCUCAAGGAGGCCAGAGGUUUGAGUUGAGGUGAAUUCUCGACAUCACAUGGUUAUCCUGUGAUAUCAAUUCUAUUCUACCCCAAGUUUCUGACGUCAAAGCCAGUAUCCUGUCUGCUGUGCCAUGCCACCACCUGGGCCAGCUACCAAAAACAUGUUUCUGGACUUUUCCCAUGCCCUCCUUCCCUGGGCCAGAGGCCUGAUUCUUAGAGGGAUCUUGUAGCCUCUUGGCUGAUAAGGGCUCUCCCUGUGGUGUGGACACAAGCCUUUUUUUGAUGGAUUUUUUUAUUUGUGAGUCUGGGUAUUUCUUCCUCCUGUAAAUGGUUAUUUCUCUACACAGAUACACGUGGGAGAAUAUUUAAUUAGAACUGAAAAUGUUUUGAGCACAUUAAGUACAAUCUAAGUGAUAAGUAUCAUGAUCUUUAAAUGCUACAAUAAGCAUUAUAAUACAUGCCUAAUUCACUG
rnacentral:lncRNA from 1 species